UACGGGGGGUAAGCGUUGUUCGGAAUUACUGGGCGUAAAGGGCUUGUAGGUGGCCAACUAAGUCAGACGUGAAAUCCCUCGGCUUAACCGGGGAACUGCGUCUGAUACUGGAUGGCUUGAGUGUGGGAGAGGGAUGCGGAAUUCCAGGUGUAGCGGUGAAAUGCGUAGAUAUCUGGAGGAACACCGGUGGCGAAGGCGGCAUCCUGGACCAUUACUGACACUGAAAGCGAAAGCCAGGGAGCAAACGGG
rnacentral:rRNA from 1 species